GGGCCCGUAGCUCAGCCGGUAGAGCGACGGACUUUUAAUCCGUUGGUCGGCAGUUCGAUCCUGCCCGGGCUCA
rnacentral:tRNA from 1 species